AAGAUACUUGAGGGCCCCAAGAUUCUUUUGUUCUUUAAAGCUAAGAACCUGAGGAAUCCCAAGAUUCUAUUAAACUUCUUCGAAAAUAAAAUACCAGAGGCCCCGAGAUUCUUUAAAUUUUUUUCUGGAACAAAAUAUCAGGGCCUCCUAAAAUUCUUCCACAAUCUUUAACCCUUUCAAGAUUCUUUAAGACUCUUCAAAAUUCUUUCAAGUUCUUGAAGAGUGCGACAUCCAAUUGGUGGUGUCAUGGUUUUGCCACAGCGCCCUCUGUGUUUGAGUAGAGUAGCUAAA